ensembl:lncRNA
UGUUGUUAUUAGUUUUAACCAACUGGUGUUAAAAUUAUUUCUUUAAAUGUUCCCUCUUAGAUUGAUAUUGUUUUAAUGUUAAUUGUGUAUAAUUAAAGAUGUAAAGUAACUAAAACUGAAAUAAAACAAUAAAAACUGUAUAGGUGUCACAGUUUGUUGCACAAGGGAAUGAACAAGAAUUAAGAUGAAGAUGAAAUAAAGUCUUUAAUAAUCCACAGAGAGAAGGCGUGCACAUACGUACACAGACGUAAACUCAAUACCUGACAACCAAAGACUGAACAGAAUACAACUUAUAAGGGGAACGUUAAUGAAUGACACACCUGAACAUAAUGACAUAAUCAAGGGAAGACAAACUAGGUCAUACUGAGCACAUGGGGAAUGAAAACAGUUCUGGGGUGUGACAGACUGCCCCACCAAGUGCUGGCAGAAUAACAAGGGAUCCUCCAUCCAUGACGCCGAUGGAGAAUGGCAGACCCGCGGUGAAUCCAGCACACAGAUGGUGGGCUGAAGAGUCGGUUGGAGCGUGUGGACAAGGAUGCCGGGUUGUUGGAGGAGUCUCUGCGAUGAAGUCAGUAAACGCCUGUAUCUUCAUCUCUGAAAGGAAUGAGGCGGCACAAGGUGACCGGAUCUUCUGUGCAACAUGAAUAACACGAAAGAAGCAGCGAAUGUUUCUCUGUAAGGUCUUUAGUGUCCAGUUAAUGAGACUCAGCGUAUGGUUUAAGAAGAAGGCUGGAUGUAUUUGUUAAGAGUGGCGGUCUCUGCGAGGGCCGUAAUGGCUAAUCUGUGUUGUGUCAUUACUCAAGCCUGCACUGGGUCAUGCGAGGCCUGCUCUUAAUGAACUGUGAAAUUACAUUACGCAGAGAUGGCCUCCACUUCCACAGAAAGACCAGAGGAGCGUGCAGAGGACACCACGGACGAGAGGGAGCCUUAUCUAACUUAAACCAGAGGGACAGAAAGAAAUGACGAGGACGGAGGAGCCAAAAAUGAUUGCUCAGAGACUUCAUGGAGUUCCUGGUUAUGAUGCAUUUAAAUAUCAACUUUGUUUUAGAAGUCCUUUGAGAGAAAUAAAAAAAGGAC